CAAUAGCGUAUAUUAAAGUUGUUGCAGUUAAAAAGCUCGUAGUUGGAUUUCGGAUGGGACUUGCCGGUCCGUCGUUUCGAUGUGCACUGGCCAGUCCUAUCUUGUUGUCGGGGACUAGCUCCUGGGCUUCACUGUCCGGGACUAGGAGCUGACGAGGUUACUUUGAGUAAAUUAGAGUGUUCAAAGCAAGCCUACGCUCUGAAUACAUUAGCAUGGAAUAACACGAUAGGACUCUGGCUUAUCUUGUUGGUCUGUGAGACCGGAGUAAUGAUUAAGAGGGACAGUCGGGGGCAUUCGUAUUUCAUUGUCAGAGGUGAAAUUCUUGGAUUUAUGAAAGACGAGCUUCUGCGAAAGCAUUUGUCAAGGAUGUUUUCAUUAA
rnacentral:rRNA from 1 species